GGGGUGUCCUGGGGGGCGGAGGGAGAGCUCCUCCAGCAGCUCCUCUUGGCCCCUGGCUGCCCACGCCCCGCUGCUUGGCUGAAUAUCUCUCAAGGCCCCAGGGCUGGCCGGCCCCUGUGCCCUGACGGGUGUCUGGUGGCCCAGGACGAGGCCCACCGCCCAGGGACAGGACAGGGGAGGGGCCGGGCGCUGCACUGGUCAGUGCUGCGGAGGAGAAACAGCUCACAGCGCACACGCGAGGACCCUGCACGGCUCAGCUGGGACGUGGGUAAGGAAGGGGUUAGAGGCCCUGGAAUGUUCCGAAGGCCGCAGGGCUGACGUCUGACCACAGACCAGAUAAGGAGCAGGAACCAAGCCCAGGAUAAGCCGCCCCCCCUCAGCCUGGACCCCAGGGCUCAGGUGUGGCAUGUGCCUGGUCUCUGAACUUUCUAGGACCACUGAGAAGGAGCUCACGGGCACCAGGCUAGCUCUGCCAAAGGCCUUGAGCGUCUUGGCCCCGGGUUCCCAGAGCAGCAGCAGGAACUCUGCAGGGAGCCCCAGACCGUGGGAGUCUGUAGCGCGUGGGCACGAGGGCUGUGGGGACACAGGAAGGGACAUCUCUCCCCAGAGGGCACCAGAUGGACCCUGGAUGGACAUCUGAAUGCGGGGGCAGAGCGGUGGGGGGUUUAAAUCCCACAGCUCACUGGGUCAAGCACGUCAACUCUCCUGAAGAUAGGAGAGGAAUACCCCUUUGAGAGGUGCCGUGAGGAUUAAAUGAGAUCACACUUGUGAAACCCCCGGGCAUUAGGCCUGAGGGGAUUCAGGAUCAGUGCUAGUCUUCCAUCCAUCCCUCCCUCCCUCCAUCCACUACUGCAGGAGUAAAUCAAAUCACAGAACUGCUCACACACACACGAAACUCUUCCACAGGAGUAGCUUCCACCAGCAGCACUCAUGGGGGGAUCAGAGUCCUUGUGAAGGAGACAGCAGAGAGCUGCCUAUGUCUGCCCAGUUAGGAUGCAGAGAGAAAGCCGCCAUCUGCAGGGCAGGAGGAAAGCUCCCUGGGGAUGGGGGCUUGCUGCUUAUGUGUGCAUGAUGCAUACGUGUGGAGGAGCGUGUGCAAGCUCCUGUUGUCGGGAGAGCUGGCAGGGGUGUGUGUUUGAAGAGGAUCCACCGAUGAGCCUGCAGUACCUUUUGAGCUCCCGUGUGCAUCCCUUACAGCUAUGCACUUGUGCUCCAGGAAAACGCACCCCCCAUGCCCUUGGGUAAGUCCUGUCAGCACCCCCUUGUCCAGGCCGGCAGCCAACACUUCCUCCAACUCCCACGCUGGGUACUGCAUCCUGGAGUCCCAGCCAGACAGACCUUCCUUCUGAGCUCACAACCUGGCAGUCUGCAGAGAGAAGGAAGGCUCCCAACUGACAGAAAAAUCUCAAAAAGUGCCUGACGCUGGGCUGGGGUGGGAACACAAGCCCCUCUGUGUCGUCUCCUGGCCUCUUCCUCCAGCAGCUGUACCUGCUGGGCUCCUAGGCCUCCUGCGUCUCCGCCUCCCCAGGAGGAUCCGAGGAUCCUGGGCCCCAGGAGGGCUUCUCUGCCCCCUGCAGCCGCGGGCCCUGCCCUUCCCCAGCCCAGAGGCAUCAUGGGGCUGGAGGCCUCUGGGGGCAUGUGCGGAGUUCUGGAGGACAGGUGAGGGCUUCACCUUUGCCACAGGAGUCAGGGGGGGCCUGAGCCCUAAGGAGCCUGUCCAGGGGCCAGUGCAGGCCCAGAAGGAGGGGCCAGCUUUCUGGAUAAAGCUGCCCUCUGCUCCCUUCUCUGCACAAAGGUGGGUUUUUAUAUGAAGCCACCCCUUCCCUGAUAGCUCAGUUGGUAAAGAAUCUGCCUGCAAUGUAGGAGACCCUGGUUUGAAACCUGGGUUGGGAAGUCCCCUGGGGAAGGGAUAGGCUACCCACUCCAGUAUUCUGGGGUUUCCCUUGUGGCUCAGCUGGUAAAGAAUCCACCAGCAAUGCGGGCAGACAUGGGUUUGAUCUCUAAGUUGGGAAGAUCCCCAGGAGAAGGAAAUAGCAACCCACUCCAGUAUUCUUGCUUGAAAAACCCCACGCACAGAGGAGCCUAGCAGGCUACAGACCACGGUUUCAAAAAGAGAUGAACACGACUUAGUAACUAAAAAGACAAGAGAAAAAAGGGGCAAUUUUCUACUUCUAUUUUUCACGAUUGCAAAGUCUGCUCAAAGGAAAACCUGCGCCGCUGCCCACAGGGGUAAGACCCCGGCAUUCACCCUGGGUGGAGAAGGGUGUCACUGAUAUCUCACAACCCCUGUGAGGAGGGGCUAUUGCUUCCCGCAUAUAACAGGGGGCAAUUGAGACAUGUGGGUGACCUGAGCUCCCCAAAGAGGGGCCAGGGAGGAGGGAAGUGGGGGUUCAGACCUGACAGGCUCUGACUCCAUGCCCACAGUGACCCCUCUGUUGAGUUCUGUGACCCUGUGGCUCUUCCCAUUAAUCGGGGAGGCUGUGCAGACCAUCCAGUCACAGGGAGCCUGGAUCUGCUGGACCAUGAGGCCCCUAGAUCCCCAGCCCUCGAGAAGGCCCCCACUCCCUCCUGGACAAGGUGAUCCCUCAGCCUGGCCCCAGGUGCUCUAGGGAGAGCUGACCUGGAGGAUCACUAUCCUGGGGUCCUUGCUGUCAGUCAUCCCAUAGCCCACGGGGCCCAGUUCAUCCCCAGCUAUACCAGACCUGGCUCAAAGAAAAGGUGACAGACAUCUUCCAGUGACAGGCCAUGGAAGGCCAGGCCCAGGCUGUCUCUACCACCUGCCAUAGGCCCUCAGAACUGAGCUGUCUGCUGCAGCUCUGAGGGUUAGAGGGGAAAGCCCAGGGCACACAAAGCUCUGCCCAGGCCUGAAUGAGGCCGCGAAGCGGGUUCUGCACGAGGAGGGAGCCCUGAGCCCCGUGAAGCUGCUGGGGGGCAGCUACACUGAAGCAGCCAAGGGGUGGAACCCUGUUUGCUCAAACUGAGAAGGGCUCUCAGGACACCUCGCCACGGCUGAGGUCAGGGUCUGGUGCAGGGUCCAGACGGGAAACCCAGAGGUGGCAGUAAAAUGCCCCGAGAGUCACGUGUUGUUUGUGGUGACCACGAGGCCAAGGCAGUAAAGAGCGCAUCCCCUCCCCAAGACGGCUCUGCGGAUUCCCCCAGGAAGAGCCCUCCCCAGCUCCUUCCUGUCCCACUGGCCCCUCGACCGUUCCUCCUGCCGGGGGGCCUCACGGCCCAGGAGGGUAUAAAGGGCCCAGAGGAGGGUGCCCAGGCACGAGACUCCCAGCACCAGGACGGGACUACAGGACUCCACAGGCCCGGUAAGGCCCUGCCCCCACCAUGCUUGGGCCCACGAGGUCAGGGGAGGCCCCUCUCUGAGAUGGGAUGGCCUGUCCUCUUCUCCCCAGGAGCCCUGGACUCUCCAGCCAGAAGCCAUGCUGCUGUGGCUGACCCUCGCCCUCCUGUGGAGCCCCACCUGCUGGGUACACCAUAAGUCUAGCUGGGGAUCCCCCUCGCUCAUCCCCCUGGAGGCCGCCCUCACUCCCCUCCUUCUGUCCAGGGCUGGGGUCUGGGCCAGCCCUUGAGACAGACAGACUCUGCUCUCAGGCCUGUACCCUCAUCUGGAGGGGCUGUGUCCUCCUCUAGGCAGAAAUAGCCAACAUGUCACUGUGUGUUUAUUUUUUCCUCUUCCCCACCUGGUUCUUUCAUAUAAUAGAGACAUUUGGGCCUGGAGGAGGUACCUAUUUCAGUACCUCUAGAGACUUCCAGACAAUAUCACCGGGAUUUGAGAGUUUACGGGUCAUUUUGGCUGUGUUAGAAGGUGAGACACUGCUCCUCCUGGAGUAACUUAUAUGGAGCUCAAGGUCUGAACCCUCAGGAAUUCCACCUGCAGAAAGGUGAACACAUUUCAGGCGUCCUCGGCUCCUUCAGGCAUUUCCUCUCCUACUUGGUUGUACACACCAGCCUACGGCCCUUCAUCCGGUUUGGAUGUCCGCAUGGCCAGUUCUUUAUCGCCUCCCCUGAUGGCAGCCAGAAGGCGCUCACUGGAGUCUACGGACAGUACACGGUUCAGGGCAUUUCCAGCAUCGGCUCUGACUGGGAUUACCCUUCAAGUUGAAGCAAAUAGCACUUCAACCAAAGAGAAAUGACCCCUCUGGGUCUCCAGGGCUGGGCCGUGGGUUACCCUGCCAAGGCCGUCUGGCUGGUGGUGGGCACAAGUCACCAGGGACCUGAGUGCAGCCCUGAAUCAGAAUCCACCAAUAAAUCCAGCUUCUGCAGCGACAGUGGGUCCAGGGGGCUCCUUGGUCGGGGAUGCGAACAAGCCUUCUGAGCUUGUGGGGACGAGGCCUCCCGGGCGGAGCUCACUGAGCAGAGCUGCAGGAGGAGGCAGGAGGGGGUCCGACACCCCAGGGCUGGGUGAUUCUGACAGGAUGCAGGGCCUGCCUGUGAGGACCCAGGCCGAUCCCAUAAUCUCUGAGGAUUCAGGACUCCCAGAGGCCCCAUCCCUUGCUCACUGCUGCAAGCC
ensembl:lncRNA